ACUCUUGUCUGGUGGGAAAGAAAGUCUUUGUUUUACACAUUUCGCUGGAUUACAUAUAAACCCUCGGUGUGCGACACAAUAGAGUUUUUUCUACAAGCAAUACUAGUCGCUAACCCGACUCAAUAGUUUUUUAAAGAGAUAGGAUUUACACAUGUCUAACACAGUAACCGGCACCGUAAAAUGGUUUAACGAAACUAAAGGCUUUGGCUUCAUCAAGCAAGAAAACGGCCCGGACGUUUUUGCACACUUCUCUGCUAUCAAAGGUGAUGGCUUCCGCACUCUUGCUGAAGGUCAGAAAGUUUCUUUCGUCAUCUCUCAAGGCCAAAAAGGUCCUCAAGCAGAAGAGAUCACACUGCUUUAAUUAGACUGGACAUUUUUACGGUAGCCAGCCAUAGUGCUGGCUAUUUUUA
rnacentral:sRNA from 1 species